GGCAAAUGUAGCACGGGGACCUCCUUUAGUAAUAUAACAGGGAUAUGUCCAAAAGGGUGUGAAGAUCAUUGGAAUGGUUCUCAGUGUCAAGAAUGCAAAGAUGGAUUUUAUGGAACAGACUGUACAAAGAAAUGUGGAUUUUGUAAAAUCGGUACGUUCUGUAACAAGACGAGUGGAGUCUGUCCGGAGGGUUGUCGGGGUAAUUGGAAUAACUCAAAGUGUUUAGUGUGCAAAAACGGAUUUUUCGGUGAGGCAUGUGAAUUCAGCUGUGGUAAAUGUAGCACGGGGACCAUCUGUAAUAACAUAACAGGACUUUGUCCAA